CGCGGUAACCCCUCCUCUCACCGGUGCCCCCUCGCCUCGCCCUUCAAUCCUGUCACUUCCUCCAUUGCUGCUGUGAGUUCGCAAACUGAAGAAGGCAAGGUUUUGAUGCAUUAAAGAUGAAUGGAACUCGGUAGUUCUACACCGCGAAGCUGCUUCUCUGAGAAGGGGAGUCUUUGUUCUUCUCAAUCCUCUACCCCCCGCCCCACUCCCCAUCCGAUUUCAGCACCGAAAAGCCUUUAUUAAGAUGCUUUGUUUCUUCUGCGUAAAAAAUCUUGCGCUCCCCUUUCAUGGCCGCACCUAUUUUAGUUAAUUUUGUUUCCUUUAUUUAUUCAGCUUGUGCCGGUUAUGGGAUAAAUAUUUUAAAUCUUACAUUUUAAAUGUUUUAACAACAAAGAGACGCCUGCUUCAGUGUAGGAUUCAUACCUACAACUUGCAGGACCGUUUCAACUCCCAGUAUCAGUGGAGCUUUAUAAUGAGAUUGGAACCAACAAUCCUUAGCACAAGGUGGAGUCCCAGUGCUCUAUGUGAUUUUAACAUAAAUCCUACAGGAACAGAUUUAGUCUUAGAUCGGCAGUGUUGCACGCGCUCCUGCAGUUUUGUUUCCAAAUAAUCUGUCUUUGAAAACUGAACAGGGGAGCGAAUGGUAACGCCCCCCCUCCCACCUCCUCAGUGUGACCCUGAUGUUGCAGGUGCGACGCGCGGGCGCUGAAGGGACCCGCGCGCAAACUGGGAGCGCUGAAGGGACCCGCGCUCGUCGCAGCGGCUAAUGAAUCCAGUUCAGCACAAAGCUCCAAGGUGUGGAUCGCUUUCCCACGCAGUGUUUUCCGCUGGCACGAGCGAUUCAUACAACCUUGCGGUUUAUUUUAAGAAAGCUAUUUUAGAGAUUUGCUCACAUGACUUUUGCGGUUAGCGAGCAAGAACAUGCACAUAAAUAUCAAUCAGUAGGUCCGUACCUCACGCGCGGUACGUGGAGCUUUUAAUAACGCAGGCUGAUGGAACCGCGUUACACCCGGACGUCCUUCAGGAAUCGGAGACCCACGCCCUGGCACGAGGACCCUCCGCAAUCUUGAGCUUUCUUGCUGCUGCAGACAUCAGGGCGUUGAAAGCGUUAACAUGCAAAGCAGCCCGGCAUGCUGGGUAAAGUCAUUCGCCUCCGUUUCCAAUGCGAUUUUCCUUUUACUGCGACGAAGUUCCCCCUCAGCUGCAGCAAUGCGCCGUGUCACCUGUCCCAAGGCAGCAAGCGUUGGAUUCAAAUUCACCCUUCCUGCGUUUCAUUCUUCCCCGACCAACCAACGGUGCAAUCAGCGGAAUUAAAUCAGCUGUAAUGGAGAGUUCGCCUGUGCUAAACCCACUCUGAGAGAGUAAAUAAUGAGUGCACAGCAAUGGCCUGAGCUUGCUUACAGACAGCUCUCAUCAUGUAGCAUUUCCUUUUUGCUUUUAUUGUGCUUUUCGUAAGAGCCAAACUGAGCUGUAACCCAGUCACAGAUCACAUUGUGAGACGUUAGCCUUCUGCAAAUAUCUUGUCAUUAAACAAUAUACAUAUUUUUUUCCUCCACCCCUCCUGUCAUUUGCACCCUUAAUUGGAGCAGAGCACAGAGCAAAGCCUGUGUUAUUGAUCCGGUGCAUUAAGGCUGUGUAAGGUCAGCAGCAUCUACAUACAUACAUCAAGCGCCUGCUUCAA